GGCCACAGUAAAACUUUUCGAAUAGCCGUGCCCGCGGUCAUGGGCGGGUCUAACAAUGUCUUUCGUGAUUAGUCUCACACUUCUCACCAUAAUAAAUGAUAAUAUAAUCGGUAAUAAUUUGUUUAGCUCCUGGUUUAGAGAUAGAUCUGUGCAGCCGGGUAUGGUUGUUCAGGAUGGUUGGGCCUGUGCAGCAUGGGUGU
rnacentral:misc_RNA from 1 species